CCGAUUACAUAAAAGAGGAGAUUCAAUCUAUUAAUAAUUGAACAUAUUCAAGACAUCCUAUAUCAGUAGGUAUCAAAAUAGUUGGUGUCUCAUCAUUCUCUUGAUUAUUCAUAGCAGUUGGUAUCCAAUUUGAUAUUUUUAACAAGUAAACAAUGAACACACAUACCCUCAGACUUGGUAGAGAUAAUUCCAAGAAAAGACAUGUUAUAAUUAAUCAAGACCAUUCUCCUAUCCAAUUAAUAAGAAAUUAGAUCCUAAAACGAAUAACAAUAAACUAGUGGAGACUAUAUUACUUGGAGUCCAACAAUCUUUCUAAGUUGAGCUUUUCACCUUCCUCCAAAGAUAGAAGUGCAGCAAUCAAUGCAUCAAACUGUACAAAUGCCAGCAAUAAUUAGUAAAAUCCCACAUGAGAUCUAAUCAUAAUUAUAUCUCUAACUUGAUUAACUUCUCUUCAAUCACUUCAACAACAAACAAUACAGCUACUAGUAAAAUUAUUCUAUAAUACUUUUAGUUCAAGACAAAUUCAUCUUGAGAAAUACUUUCUCUAUGGUUUCGUAAUGCAUAGAUAACAUAUGAAAAGCCUCCAAACAAGAGUUAAAAAGCCUUGAUAAUAUAAUCAACCAACUUGAUUUAUUACCUGUUAAGAUUCAAGAUCCAGCAAGAGUCCCUAGACCUCCAGCAGUUAGCCACUUCUGUAAAGAGAAACCCAGCAACUUCACGAAAAAUGAUAGAGCAACGAUCCAAAUUGCAGGUUAUAUAGCUUUUCCUGCAAACUAGAAAUACUAUUAAAAGAAUGAACAACUACAAAAUUUUAAAUUAUUGAAGUAAAAAACUAAAUUAAUUAACAACAAAUGAAUAACAGUAAAAAUUUGGCAUUAAUAUCACCUGAGAUUCUAAGAACUUUCUCUUAACUUUCCUUUCCUAAUCUUACAGAGAAAGCUUUGCUAUGUUUUUAAAACAGAAAGAUUUUGUUUGUGUUCAAAUUAAAAGUAAAAUAUUGGAUUUCAAGAUAAAUAAUAGAACAAAACAAAAAAAAUUAUAAAUUCAUAACGAAAAAAUCUGGAAAUUUUUAAAGAAAAAAUCUUUUGACUUGAACUAGAAAAUAUGAUCUAAUAAAAUUUCAUCGUAAGUUAUAUUCAAGUUUGGAGUUAGAUUAUCAAAACCACAUGAAAAUUCAAGGGAAAAAAUAUCUAAGUUAAAUUUAUGUUAAGGAAACGAAUGAAAAAAAAAAACACUUCACAAAAUCAUGAAAAUAAAUAUCAAGGGAAAAAAAAAGAAAGAAAAAAGCUAAAAUUCACCUAUCAAACUGAUUGAAGGUUUUGAUUAAACUGAAGUUUUACUAAUAAAAAAAAUUAAAAAAAUGCAACCUUAAAUAUGAGAUUUGGAGAGAACUGGCGCAACCUCGACUAGAUUUGAUCUUUUACUUUGAAUCAGAGAUUUGGGAGCGGGACAGUAGCAACCAUUUACUUGGAAUCGGAAUCGAUGGAUGAGGUGCGGUGUAGGGCUUUUACCCCCGCAGGCUUUGAUGAAUAUAUUGUCGAGCUUUGCAUAUGCAUCUUGUUAUUCUCUGCGAAAGCUUUUAACUUGUAACCUAACCCACUUAUUUCACAUAGCAGAGUAUUGUGACAUGAAUGGUAAACGUUGAGAGAGAGCAUGGGGGAAAAUAUUAGAAUUUAGUGAAGGUAAUUUGUGGAGAAGCGAAAAUAUUGAAAAUUAGGGUUAAAGCUAAAGCUGCAAGAGACGAUGAAAAUUUUGAAAAGAAAAAUUUGUUUUUUAAAAAUUAAUUACCGUCAGUAUUAAAAAUGGAGUCCCGG
rnacentral:lncRNA from 1 species